GAUGAACGCUGGCGGCGUGCCUAAUGCAUGCCAGUCGAGCGAACGGACGAGAAGCUUGCUUUUCUGAUGUUAGCGGCGGACGGGUGAGUAACACGUGGAUAACCUACCUAUAAGACUGGGAUAACUUCGGGAAACCGGAGCUAAUACCGGAUAAUAUUUUGAACCGCAUGGUUCAAAAGUGAAAGACGGUCUUGCUGUCACUUAUAGAUGGAUCCGCGCUGCAUUAGCUAGUUGGUAAGGUAACGGCUUACCAAGGCAACGAUGCAUAGCCGACCUGAGAGGGUGAUCGGCCACACUGGAACUGAGACACGGUCCAGACUCCUACGGGAGGCAGCAGUAGGGAAUCUUCCGCAAUGGGCGAAAGCCUGACGGAGCAACGCCGCGUGAGUGAUGAAGGUCUUCGGAUCGUAAAACUCUGUUAUUAGGGAAGAACAUAUGUGUAAGUAACUGUGCACAUCUUGACGGUACCUAAUCAGAAAGCCACGGCUAACUACGUG
rnacentral:rRNA from 1 species